rnacentral:ribozyme from 14 species
UCUCGUCUUCUUCUUCUUCUUUUUCAUUUUCAUCUUCAUCUUCAACUUCCUCAUUAUCAUUGUCAUGUUCUAGCUCUUGAAACAGAGGAGGAGAAGGUGCGUUAUCUACUACAGCAGCAGCUGAUAUAAACUCAUCCACGACAAAUUUACCAACGUCAAUAGUAGCAGGGCUGUUGACUUUGUCUUGUUGUUCUUGUUGUUUUUCGAGUGCCUGAGAAGUAGAAG